ensembl:lincRNA
AUGUCAUUGAGGACCAUCAUCUUUGAGGAAAGUUCAGUCUCACGGGGGUGGGCUGGGGUCCCUCCUGCCCCUGAUGCACAUCUCAGGGGCCCAGCCACCCCCGGACCCACGUGCUUCCCAGCAAGGAAACAGGAUGUGAUGGACGGCAGCCUGCAAGACUCUGCCCCAUCGUGUGUCCUGGGGAGGACGUGCCCCUCGGUGUGGGGUGAAGAGGAAUGUCUCCCUCCAACAGCUGGCCCGGCCUCCACUCCCAGGGCCUGCGGGCAGGAAUCUGGGAACUCGUGGGAUUCGGACGACUUGACAGAAGUGAGACGCGCCACUGUGUCCGGUCCCCAUCCAGCCCCGGCCAGGUCCUGGCCUCGACAGUGGUCACGCUCACCCUCGGGCAGCCCCUGUGGCCACAGGCACAGUCCGCUCCAGCCAGAGGAGCCCUGGCUGGCUUGGGGACUGGAAAGGGCUGCUGCUCGCCAGAGAGGAGAGAGAAGCAAAGUAAAAAAAGAUGACAAGGUAAAUCAACGUAACGUAAACUGCGAGGUCUACACAGUGGACGAUGGCGGACUUGGUCAACUCCUGGCUGGACCCAGUGUGUGCAGCACGUGGCCACACUCCUGCGGCAGGUGGCACUCAGCAUGUGGCCAGUGUCUCCUUCAUUUCCUCCAGCAGGUUGCUCAGCAGCGUGGGGUCGCUGCACUUCCCAUCCACUGACACCGACUUUUCACCCUGUGAGGGAAACGACAGCUGGCACUCAUGAGGCGCCACCCUCUGGACAUCCUCUCCUACUUCAGGGUGCUCCGAUAAGCCUCUCCUAUUCUGGGGUGUUUGAUAACCAAGAAGAGGGGAUCCAGGUAGGACAGAGCAGGCACACCACACCCCAUAUCUCCCACACCCCAUGGGAGGAGCUGUAGGACCUGGAGAGGCCAGAACUGCAAGGGCUCAGGACUGAUGCUCUGGCCAAGGCAGGGAUCCCAGCCCUGCAAAGGACACACAGCCCCUGCCUGGCCCAGCCCCUCAGGGGCACAGGGAACAGCUGAGUGUAGCACCAGAUGUCCUGCAGAUGGAACCUGAGUGCCAGCCUUCUCCACAGGUGUGAAGAAGGCCCACAGACUCCAAUUCAAAACUUCCAAAAUCACUCGGCACUCCAAGACCACGGAAAUCUUAGCUCACGUGGAAAAGAUAACCCACAAAUACCCACGGAGAAGAAAUGGAUGUCAGAAUCACCUGACAGGCUUUAAAGUAGUGACUCCAAGAACCUCCCAUCAGCAAUCACAUACAUCCCUGAAGCAAGCAGGAGAACACAACAUCUCAGCAAAGAAAUGGAAGAAAUAAAGAUCUACCCAGGGAACUUCUAGACUGGAAUAUACCAGCUGCACACAACAGAACUUGCAUGACAGAAGAGUCUAUGACCCUGACAAGAGAUUAAUGGAAAUGAUCCAAUCUGAACAGACCAGUGGAAAGGAGGUGGGGGUGGGUGAAGUAGCAAAGAUUCACAUCACAGGGACCCGAGACAGAGAAAGCAGUGCUGAAAAGGUACCUAAAAUCAUAGCUGAGAACUGAGUUGUGCAAAAGACAGAAACGCACAGAUCAGCACAUUCAACAGACUCCACACUAUUAACAGGAGCUAGGUCCCCUUCCAGGGAACCCCUCUGGUAAAGGUUGUGCAGGAUGAGUGGAAAUAUCACUAAAGUUUAAGUCCAGUGAAAGCACACUCGAACCCCUCAUUUCUAAUCUCGGCAGCACGCAAUGAGAAGAGGGCAGGGACAGGGGUCCAGACACAGUGCGGGGCCCAGAGCCCCAGGGAUUGGCAGAAGAUGCUGGAAGGGAGGCCCUGCCGCCGUUUCAAUUCCCUACGUUCCCAACAGCUUUACUGACACCACGUGGAUGGAGGGUUUUGUCAGCAGACUGCCCAAAUCAAUGAAGUCAAUACCAAGACAUGUCACAAACUGCUAAAACCAAGAACAAAGGAAAACCUGAAACAGCCAGGGGGAAACAAUGCAUUUCUUCAUAAAGGGAAAACAUUCCCUAUUGGAAACCGAGAUUCCAAAAGGAAAUGGCCUAGUUUUGAAGCACUGUGUGAGAAAAAAACAUCAAAGCAAAAAUUCUAUACUCACCAAAAACAGCCUUGACAAACAGUAAAACAAAGAAUGAUCGGAUGAAGGAAACUGAGAGAACUCACACAGCCAACAGACCUGAUCUAAAGUUCUUUAGACAGAGAGAAAUGAGGCAGAAUAAAGGGUGGAAUGAGCAGUGAAAGCAACAGAAACAGCAGGCACGCAGGUGAGCAGACGAUGCUGUCUUGUCUCCUGAGGUCUCCGGAAUCUGUAAAAGGUGCCUUCAGUGUCUGCAGAAGCAAAACCUGAGACCACCUCCUAUAUAGGGGGAGGGUUAAGGGUAAGCCAGUGUGAGGUUUUCAUGUUCCGCCUGAGCUCCAAGUAGACUUUGAACACCAAGGGUGGGGAUAUAGUCCCCAGAGCUCCAGACACACAGAGACUCUGUUAACAUAUAAACGUGGGACACUGGUAACGCUCACAUACGCCACAGAAGGCGAGAGCAGAAGGGUGAAAGAAAAGACACAGGGAACAAGCUAACUGCAAGACAAACCCAAAAAUAUCAGUAAUACUUUAAGCACAAUGCUCUGAACAGUACAACUGAAAGAGACUGACAGAAUGAAUCAGGACAUGGUAUCCAUAAGAAAUCCUUUCCAAUACAAGGAUAAAGGCAGGUUUACCACAAAGGAUUUGCCACAUAAGCACAGACCAAAUGACAGCAAGAGGGCUUCCCUGGUAGCUCAGUGGUAAAGAAUCUGCCUGCCAAGGCAGAGGACAUGGGUUCCAUCCCUGGUCUGGAAAGAUCCCACAUGCUGAGGGGCAAUCAAGCCCGUGUGCCACAACUAGAGAAUGGCUCAUGCAGCAACAAAGACCCAGCAGUGCUACUACAAGUAAGUAAAUAAAUGUGAAGUGAAAGUCCCUCAGUCGUGUCUGACUCUGUGACCCCAUGGACUGUACAGUCCAUGGAAUUCUCCAAGCCAGAAUAUUCGAGUGGGUAGACUUUCCCUUUUCCAGGAGAUCUUCCCAACACAGGGAUCAAAUCUCGUCUCCCACACUGCAGGUGGAUUCUUUACCAGCUGAGCCACAAGGGAAGCCCAAGAAUACUGGAGUAGGUAAGCCUAUCCCCUUUUCCAGGAGAUCUUCCCGACCCAGGAGUCCAACCGGGGUCUCCUAUACAUUGCAGGCAGAUUCAUUCCAACUGACCUAUCAGGGAAGCCCAAGCAAAUAAAUAAACGUUAUUAAAAAAACACACACAGACACACACACACACAGAAUGGCUGUACUGACACCAGACAAAGUGGACUUCAGAGCAAAGACACACCACAGGACAGAGACGAACACACCAACUGGUGAGGGGAUCCACUCGCCCAGAUUCACGAUUCUAACGGCCCACAGUCAGUAGACCAGUGGACCAUCACUGGCUUCAUGUUCCUUGCUCACUCGUGGAGGACUGGCAGAGAGAAAAUCUGCAAGGAUCCAGAAGAAUCAAAAGCAGUCAACCAGCAGGAUCUGGGUAACACACAUAUCGCAGGAACACCUACAGAACAGCUGUCCAGAGGGAGCACACUCAGGACAGAGCUCCAGUCUCAGCACCUUUCAGAGGCCUGAGAGGUCACACCAGAAACCAAGGGCCAGGAGGCAACAGGGAACUCUCCCAAUGCUUAGAAAUAAGUCCACAGGUCAGUGAGGAGGUAGUGAUAGAAAUUAGAAGUAUUUGGAACUGUAUACACAUGAAAAUGAAUCAUAAAAUCCUGUGGGGUUCAGCUAAACAAUUAUUUAGAGAAAAGUUCCUAACAUUAAAGACUUUAUUAGAAGAGACGGGCCUGUUGGAAAGGUCUAAGUUUUCACCUUAUAUAUUUGCAAAACAGCAAAAUAAAUCCAAAGGAGGCAGAAAUAAAGAGAUAUGCAGCAAUAUUCAGUAAAAAAAAUUUUUUUUUUGGCUACACCUCAUUGCUUGUGGGGACUUCCCAAAUGGCUCAGUGGGCAAGAACCCACCUGCCAAAGCAGGAGACACAGGAGACCUGAGUUCAAUCCCUGGGUCAGUAAGAUCCCCUGGAGAACGGAAUGGCAACUCACUCCAGCAUUCUUGCCUGGAGAAUCCCAUGGACAGAGGAGCCUCAUGGGCUGCAGCCCAAGGGGUUGCAAAGAGCAGAACACAACUGAUCACGCAUGCAUUGCAUUGCCAUUGCUUGUGGGAUCUCAGUUCCCCAACCAGGAAUCAAACCCAGUCCCUGGCAGUGGAAGUGCAGAGUUCUAACCACCGGACCUCCAGGGAAUUCUCCAACUCUUCAAAAAAAUUGGCUACUAAACUGAUCUUCCAAAAUGGAUAAAUAAGCCUUCUAGCCAAGAUAACCAAGAAAAAGGAGAGGAGACAAUUACCAAUAUCAGGAAUGAAAGCUUUUAUCACCACUGAUCCCUCAGACACUAAAAGGAAAAGAAAAGAACCAGAUGACUUGAUCCACCAUCACCUCCAUAAUCCAGAUGAAACCAACCUCUUUGAAGACUACAAACUACUGAAACUCACACAGUAAGAAACAGACAAAGGAAGGAACCCUAAAAGUAUCAAAGAAACAGGAUUUCCCUGGUGGUCCAGUGGACAGGACUCCACCUGCCAAUGCAGAGAACACAGAUUCCAUCCCUGGUCUGGGAAGAUCCCACCUGCUGAGGGGCAACCAAGCCCGUGUGCCUAGAGUCCAUGCUCCUCAACAAGAGAAGCCAUGCAAUGAGAAGCCCUUGCACCAAAACUAGAGCGUAGCCCCUGCUCACUGCAACUAGAGAAAGCCUGCAGCAAGCAACAAAGACCUGGAGCAACCAAGAUUAAAUUUCUAAAAAAGAAUAAAGCAGUUAUGAAAAAAAAGAAACUGAACUUGCAGAUAAAAACUUUUCAGAAAAGAACUCCCCAGACCCAGAUGCUUUCCUUGAAUUCUACAAUAAUAUGCCACAAGAAACACACUGACUAAAUAUGACCUCUUCCAGGAGAUGUGCAAGGAGGGAACGCGCCAGGCGGAGGAAAGGCCGACACUGCUCAGGAGCACAGGGUCAGAGCCUUCAGCAAAAUCAUCUCAGACUGAACUCAGAGCAGAGCAGCUCCACUGGAGGACAGUGGUGAAGCUGGGCAGGCCCUCCAGACCCUGAGGGCUCACCUUCUUCACCAGGAGGCAGACGUGGUGGCCCUGGAUGGAGCGGCUGUACAUGGAGGCGCAGGAGUCCACUCGCUCCACAACUGCAAGAGAGGGUGAUGUGAGGCUGGGCCAGCCCCAGGCAGUGGGGUAGGCCCGUGUGCCGGAAGAAGGCCAAGCAGUCUAUCAGCUAUGUCCAGUCUUACCAGAAAAACGGUGAUGAAAACAGAUCUUUGCCAAGAGGUUAUGGAAGGACAUACUAAUGCCAUCCACCUUGAUCGAGCUCAUGCUCAGGUCCCCAGACUCCAGCAACUUGGCAAAGGCAUCGCUGUGGGAAGGACAGAGAGAGGGUGGCAACAGGGGGCCCCGCCCGGGGGUGGGCACCUCCUCUGAGGGCCUGUGGCUCAGGGUCUGCACUAGUCCUG